GAAGCCAUGGAAACGGGUAAUAUUUACUUGUGAUGAUGUCACAAGAAUCCUCCUCCAACCCUUCCACUCUCUUCCUCUGCCCCCAUUUAAAGGAAGGAAGGUGAUGACGACCCUGCUUAUCGUUUUUUCAUCCGUUUUUAUCUGCCUCACUGCCUCACACACACACACACAAUAUUUCCACACAGACUUGCAGGCAGAACCGCUUUACUUAUUCAGAGAAGAGAGGGGCAGCUCAGCCGGGUCCAUCUAUAAUUCAUGCACCGGAAAGCAUUGACUUCAGUGUCGAGGGAUGUAGCAGUGCUCAGCAGUCAGAAGACAUCACUGUCACAUCUGGACCGAACACACAAUGAAUAUUAAGAUAUAUUAAGGCUACAGCCGCCUGCCAUGUUCACACCCGAGAUCUAUUAAAUUGAAGCAGUUACAUGUGCCAAAUGCUCCCCUGGAUCAGUGAUUUCUAACUAGGGGGUACAUGGAAGGAUAGGGGAGUAGCUGUACUAAUGCGGACAAAAAAUUAUACAUUUUGGGAGAGGUGUCUAUACGCACCCAAAUAGGAUUUCAAUGGAGUGAUGUUGGUCUUUACCUUCUGCCAGCCUGAGUCAUUUGUAACAGCUUAAAGCCAUGUUUUAUCACAGAAAUGGCAUGAAAUGGUUAGCUAAAAAUAAUGGAUAAAUGGUUGAAACACUAAGCCAAAGGUUACGUACUAAACAGUUAAAACUACAUAUGUAGUGCAUAAACAGUUGAGUUCAAUUUAGUUCAUGUCACAUAUACAAGGAAAAAAUUAAGUUUGCUGUAGAUGUUGGCUGAAUCUUUUGCUUAUUACAGCUACCCUUUUUACAUUUAUUAUUUUGUGAAGUUCCCUUUAGAUUUAUAUACUUCAGCAUAGUUGAACUAAUGAGCCAAAACUAACGGAAAACAGCAAUGCUAAUGGUAAAACUUUUAACUCGCUUGAAGUAAUAGAUAAAAAGUUGAAAUAGUGGGUUCAAAGUAAUAAACAGUUGAAAUGAGUUGAAAACUAAAACUAAUGCAUAAAUAGUUGAUUUAAUUAGCUGUAAUUGAUGGAUAAACACAUGAAAUAAUAUGCUAAAGAACACAUUACAAUUAGUUCAAAUGAACACAUUUUAACAUAGCAGAGGUACAGUGUGCCAACUGUGUGUCUGUGUGCUGGAAAUGCCUAAAUCUAUAUCUAUCUAGCAAAAAAAGUAAAUGAGAGAAAAUAUGGGCGAGAUUCAGAUUCUACCGUAAAGCCUCAGGUCUCUCCCACAAAUUCAUUCAGAGAGAAGUGUAGUUCCUCAAUCUCAUAUUGAGUCAUUGCUGGAUGUCUGUUCGCUGGUAUUUCAACACUUAGUCAAUAACUUGUAAUUAUAUGUAUGAUGAGAGAAACUCACACACUGGUCAGCGGUCUGUCCUGUUGAGUCAGGACCAAUACCAAUCUUAAACCGUUGCACUGGCUUGGUCUCUGACAUCACAUUUCUCUCAAUGUUGCUCUUUAGUCGCCGCCUUGUGUGCUUGUCAAGUCUCUUUCGAAACUGAAAAUGACACAUGGCCGCCUCAAGGACAGUUGCAUCAGUGCCAAUGUGAAAGUGAAAGUGCAAAUGUUUUUUCAUUGUGACAGGAGAACAAGUGGGAGGCAGAGAUUAAAUGUGUGUUAAAAGGAAAGCAAAAGAAUGUAGACCGGUUGGAUGCGAGUGUUGACAUAGGAAGAGUCUGGGAAACUAAAAGCAAAUUAUCUGCCCAACUGUGCCUGAGAAUGCACACAUGAUGCUUUGUGAUUGUAUUGCAUGUUGCGGCUACACUGAAGUUUACUGAGAACAUGGAGCCACUGAUGGUGGCGAUGGGACUCAUUAACACAUGUGCAAAACAAGCAGAAGCAUUGGCAAUUAUAAAUAAAAGCAAUGUUUGGAGUCAUUUCUGCUCAGGUACUAGACAAUACAGUAAUUUCCACAGAUAUAAUUCUUCAAACUUUCAGGACGCUGAAUUAUAUGGAAGACUUUCAUUUUCACUCAUAGGGGAAUAAUGUGUAAAUUCUCAUCCUUUAUUAUCACUCCACCUUUGUUUGUGAUUACAUAACGGAUGUUUCACUGCUGUAGAUGAAUGGGAAGACUUGGGAAUUUUCAAAGAGACAUGAGGCCUGCACUGGUUUUUAUGGGUCUAUGUGGAAAAGCAUUCAGUGAAGAGCAUCAUCACUGCUGGCCUCUACUGGACAGUGAAAACGUCACAUGUGACCGAGUUCAUCUGCUGCUAAAUUGUAUAAAGCACUGUCGACCUUUGUGACCAAAAGGUAGUAUCUACUUGGAAUUCCCCAAAAUUAGAGUCUCCCUACACAGAGAGGUGAAAACUUCAAAGAAACAGUGAUAAUCCCUUUAGUUUCAUCAGGGGCGCUACCAUGAGAAGAAGAGAGGCU